UCUCUCUGAAACUGCACACUCAAUGGAAGAGGACAACCUUCCCCAAUAGAGGAGAACUGUUCCUCAGUUGAGGAUAUAUGGAGUAGCUGUGCUUCCCUGGUAGAAUCUCCACACAAGCUCUCAGGGAAAGCUGAGGUAGAAGGACCACUUUAGC
ensembl:misc_RNA 7SK 7SK RNA